GUCGAACGGAUCUUGUGGUGUAGCAAUACAUUACUUGGUUAGUGGCGCAAGGGUGAGUAACACGUGGGCAACCUGCCCGGAAAUGGGGGAUAGCCCGCCGAAAGGCGGAUUAAUACCGCAUAUGACGAGGGAUGGCAUCAUUCCGUAGUCAAAGUUGGUGAAAGCUAACGUUUCCGGAUGGGCCCGCGGCCUAUCAGCUAGUUGGUGAGGUAACGGCUCACCAAGGCUAUGACGGGUAGCUGGUCUGAGAGGACGACCAGCCACACUGGAACUGAGACACGGUCCAGACACCUACGGGUGGCAGCAGUCGAGAAUUUUUCUCAAUGGGGGAAACCCUGAAGGAGCGACGCCGCGUGGAGGAUGAAGGUCUUCGGAUUGUAAACUCCUGUCAUGAGGGAGCAAAGCACAGCGUUAACUGCGUAUGUGUGUGAUAGUACCUCAAGAGGAAGGGACGGCUAACUCUGUGCCAGCAGCCGCGGUAAUACAGAGGUCCCGAGCGUUGUUCGGAUUCAUUGGGCGUAAAGGGUGCGUAGGCGGUUAGGUAAGUCAGAUGUGAAAUUCCAGGGCUCAACCUUGGAACUGCAUUUGAUACUGCUUGACUAGAGUACUGGAGGGGAGACUGGAAUUCACGGUGUAGCAGUGAAAUGCGUAGAUAUCGUGAGGAAGGCCAGCGGCGAAGGCGAGUCUCUGGACAGUUACUGACGCUGAGGCACGAAGGCUAGGGGAGCAAACGGGAUUAGAUACCCCGGUAGUCCUAGCAGUAAACGGUGCACGUUUGGUGUGGGAGGAAUCGACCCCUUCCGUGCCGUAGUUAACACGUUAAACGUGCCGCCUGGGGAGUACGGUCGCAAGAUUAAAACUCAAAGAAAUUGACGGGGGCCCGCACAAGCGGUGGA
rnacentral:rRNA from 1 species